rnacentral:lncRNA from 1 species
GACCUUUUAAAAAGGCUCUACCCGUGUAUACUCCUUUUAGAGUAGCUGAAGGAAGUCAUGGAAGCUAGCGAGCCCUUCAAAUUUUUCCCUGUCUGGUUUAAUCCAUGCGCAUGUUUUGCUCCCUAAAAUAGUGAUCCUGACAAUAAUCCUACAGGCAUGGAGCGAUCUGCUUUUUACAGGGCCCUCGCUCCUGCCUUCUAACGCUGCUGGUUUUGUCCCCAUUUUAUAGAUGAUGAGGAACCGAAGCUCAGAGGAGUUGGGGGUCUCGUCCAGAGCCCCGGAGAGUCAGAACCAGAACUAGAACUCAGGCCCCCAGAAUCCAAAAGCUCUUUCUACUACUCUGUUGCUAGGCAACCCUUCUCCCUUUCGAUUCUUGUGCCAAUGCUACUUGUUGCCAUGGUACUGCUGGGACAAGGAGCAGUACAUUGUAAUUAAGCAGCGAGCUAGAAUCUUGGCUCCUUGCAGAAAGGGGUCUUUAUGCCCCAAGUAUGGGUGGCCGGAGAGGGGCAAUUGGAUGGGACUGGUCAGUUAUCAUGAAUCCAGUUCCCAACUAGAUCUCUUGCUGACACCCUACUCCGCUCUGCAUUUGAGACUCAUCCUUCCAUCCCCAGGGCCUACACAGUGCUUCACAUAAGGAGGCAUUCAAUAAACUUUGUCAAACAAAUGAAGCA